CCCUGCAUUCGUAAGUGAUCAGAAGGCACCCAUGCUCUGGUCAUUGGUAGUGCAGGCAGACAAACUGUGGAAAGAAUCGUCCUGUGUUUGGAGGGUCUGUGUGCUUGCCUUCCAUUUCUAGGAGCUUUCCCACA
ensembl:snoRNA SNORA71 Small nucleolar RNA SNORA71